rnacentral:rRNA from 1 species
GAUGAACGCUGGCGGCGUGCCUAAUACAUGCAAGUCGAGCGAACGGACGAGAAGCUUGCUUCUCUGAUGUUAGCGGCGGACGGGAGAGUAACGCGUGGAUAACCUACCUAUAAGACUGGGAUCACUUCGGGACACCGUAGCUAAUCCCGGAUAAUAUUUUGAACCGCAUGGUGCAAAAGUGAAAGACGGUCUUGCUGUCACUUAUAGCUGGAUCCGGGCUGCAUUAGCUAGUUGGUAAGGUAACGGCCUACCAAGGCUACGAUGCGUAAGCGACCUGAGAGGGUGAUCGGCCACACUGGAAGUGAGACACGGACCAGACGACUAAGGGAGGGAGCAGUAUGGAAUGGUACGCAGUGGGCGAGAGCCUGACGGAGCAACGCGGCGUGAGUGAUGAAGGUCUUCGGAGCGUAAAACUCUGUUAUUAGGGAAGAACAUAUUUGUAAGUUACUGUGCACAUCGUGACGGUAACUAAUCAGGAAGCCACGGCUAACUACGUG